CCUACGGGGGGCAGCAGUGAGGGAUAUUGGUCAAUGGGGGAAACCCUGAACCAGCAACGCCGCGUGAGGGAAGACGGUUUUCGGAUUGUAAACCUCUGUCCUCUGUGAAGAUAAUGACGGUAGCAGAGGAGGAAGCUCCGGCUAACUACGUGCCAGCAGCCGCGGUAAUACGUAGGGAGCAAGCGUGGUCCGGAUUUACUGGGUGUAAAGGGUGCGUAGGCGGCUUUGCAAGUCAGAAGUGAAAUCCAUGGGCUUAACCCAUGAACUGCUUUUGAAACUGCAGAGCUGGAGUGGAGUAGAGGUAGGCGGAAUUCCCGGUGUAGCGGUGAAAGGCGUAGAGAUCGGGAGGAACACCAGUGGCGAAGGCGGCCUACUGGGCUCUAACUGACGCUGAGGCACGAAAGCGUGGGUAGCAAACAGGAUUAGAUACCCUUGUAGUC
rnacentral:rRNA from 1 species